AGCUCCAAUAGCGUAUAUUAAAGUUGUUGCAGUUAAAAAGCUCGUAGUUGGAUCUCGGACUCGGGCGGGCGGUCCGCCUCGCGGCGGCUACUGCCCGACCCCCGAGUCUACCUGCCGGCGUUUCCCUUGGUGCUCUUGACUGAGUGUCUCGGGGAGCCGGGACGUUUACUUUGAAAAAAUUAGAGUGUUCAAGGCAGGCCGCAGACGCCUGAAUAAUGGUGCAUGGAAUAAUGGAAUAGGACCCCGGUUCUAUUUUGCUGGUUUCCGGAACUCGAGGUAAUGAUUGAGAGGGACGGACGGGGGCAUUCGUAUUACGGUGUUAGAGGUGAAAUUCUUGGAUCAUCGUAAGACGGACUACUGCGAAAGCAUUUGCCAAGAACGUUUUCA
rnacentral:rRNA from 1 species